AUUUAUUUAGUAUAAUAAGUACUUUUGAUUUCCAAUCAAAAAGUCUAAUAAUUAGAAUAAAUA
rnacentral:tRNA from 1 species